rnacentral:lncRNA from 1 species
UUAAUCUGGAAGUCCAUGACAAAGUAAGCCAAGACAAUGUUUCCACAUAAAAUAGAUAAAACAAUAGUUGGGUUAUUAGAUAGCAAAAGCAAAAGUCAUUCCAAGGUAAGAAUCCUAUAUAGUUCUGCUAAAGCUUUAGCAGUGCAUCAGUGCAACUAAUAUGCACUCUUAUAGAAGGCAAGGACAGUCCGACAGUAGCUCACACAACACAUCCCAGUAGCUAGUGGCAGGUUCUGUCCUCAUGAUUAUGCCCCACCAAUUCAAUAUAAUAACCAUCAACUUUGUUGAUUUAUCCAUCGCACAAGUAGGAGGAAAGGCAUCUGCCAUGACACUAUGAAUCUAAUCUGAAAAGGAGGACAUGUAUCUCACAUCAUAUAAAUAACCUUUAGCAAGGUUGUCUAUCAUGUCAAAUGCCUAAUUGAGUCCGAGCCUUAGAUAACCAAGGUCUCAUUACAUUUGCUCAGCCAUUCGUAUUUUCAGUUCCUUUGCCACAAUGUUUGUGGCGUUCUCCAUGUACAUAAUUGCCUCAAAGGCGGCAGAAUCUUCCCCCAUUGCCUCAUUUGGAGAGCAACACACAAGUAAUCAACAAUUGCGUUGGACAGCUCCCGCUAUUCUGGACAGUGGUGUUGAAAAGAACGGUUACUUAUCGUGUUCUGCAAGUAUCCUCUGACACGGUAAAUGGCCUUGGGAAGCCCAGGCUGCUCUAACAAGAGAUGGAGCAUCGUUCUACUUGGAUCCUUACAAUGCUCGGCUCAACCUGUGUUACCAAAAAUUGCAGAAGAGUCACUUCUAAUUAUAGAGCACUAAAGCUGACAUAAUUCAUGGUCUUGCUUAUAUCCAAGUGUCAAUUUUGAUGUUUCCAGUUCUGAUGUCAGGCAAAUGAAAUAGUGAGAUUGACAAAGAAUCAAGUCAAACAUAAAGUCGAAGACGUGUUUGCUGCAUAUCGAUGAUAUAUAUCAGGCUGUCACUGCCCCUCUCAUAAUGCAUUUACUACUGGAGCCCUAGCAAGAGCGAAAGCUCAUCACUAUUUGCACUUAUACUUGCAUAACAGAAGUUAAUGUAAAAGAUUUAAAUAACAGAAAAUGCAAGAGAGUGAGAGUGGGAUUACUGCAGACUUAGAGACAACAGGCCAACAAAUUAAUCGACAGGUCCUCUUUUGAUCCUUGAUGCGGUCAUAAACAGUGAAAGCCACAUGGAAUGAUAUUUUAAACUGAACCGAGCAUCUGACGGUUCGUCAACAAAUAAUUUUUUAUCCAACCUAUAUUAUGUCAUUACUGAAACACAUGCACCACAAAAUCCAACCAUCCAUGAAAAUUUGAGAGUAACAGAUUGUUUAUUAUUAUUUUUGUAUUUCUCAAAUGACAAAGAUCCCCAUGCUGAUCAUGUUUUGUAAUCAAUAUCCCAUCAUUGCCUUAUGAUGCUUACACCACUUAAUGGUAAGACCUAUUUCCAUUGCGCAUUAGAUAGUGCCCUAUUGCAUCAUGAGUGACAUUUAUGAAAGAAAGAUCAAGCAUGCAAGCAUUACUGGUAAGCAAAAAGGUUCAUAAAGAUAUGGUAUUCCUUCAGGAGGAGUUGUACGACAGUUUUUUCAAAAUAUGCAAGUAAUAGACAUGCAAAAACUGAUCAGCAAAAGUUUAUAGGAAAUGAGAUUUAUGGCUGAUUUAUUCUACUAUACUGGCUGGACAACUUCACCAAAGGAAUAUAUAACACGUGAAACAUUGAAUACAAGUUAGAAUCGAAGAAGGCAUCUCAGAAUUCAUACAAUAUUUUUUUUUGUAAAGGUAUGCUUCAUAUUGAUAAGUUUGAGCGGCUACCUAAUCUUUGGGUUCCUGAAUUCUUAAUGUGUCCAUUUGCAAGCAUCUAACAGGUGCUGCUGAUCCAGCUUAGAAAGCCUAAAAAAUUCCACCUUUGUUCAAAUAAGAAGAAUGCAUACUAUGAUACAUCAUUCUGGAAUUCAAUUAGUCAAUCAAUAUUUAUUCUCAAUUUGGAACAGAAUUGCAGAUAGGGGUCAGGAAACUCAAGAAAACUCACCACAAGCUUCUGCUGCCAGAUUGUCGUUUGCUUCAACCAGCCGCAUGCUCAAUUAGUCGUCCCCGACUCGUGGAUAGUCCGUGAAAGCAGAGUUGUGCGCCACCCUGUCAGUGACGCCCUACUGCUGGAUUAGGCAAAGCGAGAAGCAUCGAAUGCCUGCUUAUGGUCUUCUGGUCCGUGACUUGUAUCGCAACCUGUAGAAAGAGGAGGUAGAGGCAACAACAGAGCAUAUGCAUGAAAAGUGUAACAUGCUAACAACCUACAUUGGAAAAGCAAUGAAAAGAGUAGGCUAAAAACAUCUAGAAAUUCAAUGUAUUCCUAAGUUUGCCCAUUCGUAAGAAUCCGCUAGACCAACAUUUCAGAGUAGCAUGGUUCAAUUCAUGCAAGGCAGACAAAACAUCAGUUUGGAAUUAUCAUUAACCGUGGCUCACGUGUAGUUUAAAACUGGAAGCAUGGUUCAAUUCAUGCAAGCAGCAAGCCAAACAAAACAUUAGUUUGGAACUAUCAGGAAUAGUGGCUCAAGUGUAGUUUAAAACUGAAACAACUAAAUGUAAUCCUCUCUCGCUUGCUGAAAAUUACAGAUCUGCACUUGUUCCUAACUCAUGUUAUGAAUAGUUAUAUGAGUCUUAGCGCAUGUAUUUUUGCAUGUCCACAUAUGUUGAUCCCAGUUCACCAUAUAGUAAGAUAAAAUGUCCGAAUAAAUUCAAAUGUCCAGGCCAAAUACUUCUUAUCCAGGUCCCAUACCAGGAAGCAUUUGUACAAUAAAACGCUGAUUCGUAGUCAGUUAAAGGAUGACAUACAACAGAAAUUUUGCAUCUAGUCCACGAUUGCAUAUACUUCUAAAGAAUGUGAAUUAAAGCAAUUUAUUUCUAUAGCAUGGACCCUUUCAUUUGGGAUGUAAGAACAGCAUUAGUAUGAAUCCAAUUUCAUAUGAGAAACAUCAAAAAAACUCCCUGGAAAAGUUUUCUGAUAAGUAAUAAGGAGCAUGUACAUUUGCCUUUUGCCUCAAUGUGCUGUAGCUAUUUUAUCAACCCAAGUAACAAAGUAGCAUUCUUGCUAAAUGCAUGAAAACUAAGAGAUUGCUGAAAGUCAUCCAUGUUUAGAUUAGAAAAUAGCUGCAACGAGAUAUCUUUUGGUGGGGUCACACAAGGAAAAUAUAAAACCCAAGUAACAAAGUAGCAUUCUUGCUAAAUGCAUGAAAACUAAGAGAUUGCUGAAAGUCAUCCAUGUUUAGAUUAGAAAAUAGUUGCAUCGAGAUAUCUUUUGGUGGGGUCACACAAGGAAAAUAUCAAUACAAGCCACAAAAAAGGGUAAGAAAAAUACAUGUUACCUCCAAUUGAUCCAAGGAAACUGGCAUCAAAACAGAGCCAUCAUGAUGAAGAACACCUCUGUAAUCAAUUGACUCGCCCUGUUACAUAUGGUAUGAUUAGUUUUAAUGAUCCAGUAAUUGAUUGCUUCCUACUGAC